AGCGAACGCUGGCGGCAGGCCUAACACAUGCAAGUCGAACGAACUCUUCGGAGUUAGUGGCGGACGGGGGAGGAACACGGGGGAACGUACCCUUAGGUUCGGUAUCACUCAGGGAAACUUGUGCUAAUACAGAAUGUGCCCUUCGGGGGAAAGAUGUAUCGCUUUUAGAGCGGCCCGCGUCUGAUUCGCUAGUUGGUGAUGUAAUGGCUCACCAAGGCGUCGAUCAGUAGCUGGUCUGUGAGCAUGAUCAGUCACAUUGGCACUGAGACACGGCCCAAUCUCGUACGGGGGGGAGCAGUGGGGAAUCUUGCGCGAUGGGCGAAAGCGUGACACAGCCAUGCCGCGUGAAUGAUGAAGGUCUUAGGAUUGUAAAAUUCUUUCUGCGGAGACGAUAGUGACGGUACCCGGAGAAGAAGCCCCGGCUAACUUCGUG
rnacentral:rRNA from 1 species